GUUUCUUUUUCGCGAUGGAAUGAAGAUCUCCCGUUGCAACGGUGACAAUUAUCUGAAUCCCACGGACUUUCCUGUAGACGUAUAAUCUCUGCCAACACUUUAGAUGGCUCACCCCUAGCAACAAUGUUGACUCCCGUAGUGACGGUUGAGUUUCAAAUUAGUGAUUCUGCGCGAGAUGUCCGCACAAAUUCGAGCCUCUUAUUGGACGAUUCUCGCGAGUCAAGUGGUUUUUCCUUGAAAAAUGUUCAUCAAUCUCACGCAACGUGCGCAACCACCUGUGUUUGCUCGAAUUUGUAGAACAACGUUCACAUUGCGAUUCAGUUUUUCCGUAGUGAAACGGGAACCGGCAUCAGAAAGAUAUCGAUGUUGUAUUAUUCAAUGCGAUGCACGAUACACGUCCACGUGAAACGAGAAAUUCAAAUACACAACAUUGCGGAGCAUCGACGGGAUAGCGCGGCAGUUUAUCGCCUGUCUCGCCACAACGCUUCAACGUUUUGCAACAUUAAUAUCGUGAUGCGAAACAAAGGUUGCUUCGGAGGAUCUCCGUUUCGCGAUGGGCUGACGUCCGAGCGAAACGCCGCGGCGAAGCUUCUGUGGGAACACUUGGCAGCAAACUGGACGUGUAAACAGAGCUGCGUAGAUGGCACCGAUGAUUCACGAUGGACUAUAGUAAUUCAUUAUAAUGAAGGCUAGCC